GGUCCGCAGGUCCUCGAAGGAUGUCUUGCCUGGUACGUGGUUAAACAGCACUCGCAGAAAGUACCGCUCCCCUCGGCUGGAUGGGCUGACACGAUUCGACCUACUUGGUGCUGCUUUUCUCUCGGCCUCCAGUAUUUCUGUCUCUGCCAUGUGAAACUUCCCGGAAAGUCCUUGUACAGGAUAUCCCGAGCCCACACAUGCUGCUGAUUAGCGAGGAAAUACUCGGUCAGCAUUGACUUAGAUGCAGUAUCACGGGCGACGACAUCGGUCAGGUCCUCUCCUGCUUUGAACGUGACACUAUUCAUAUUAGGGAGAUGAAGUGGCAACUGUAGGACCGACGGGAAACUCUCACAAAGGUUGAAGCCGAAUAUCCUCCACAUCGCCUCUGGUGGAGUAACCCAUCUUGCAUCAACGUACCUUUUAAUCUCGUCUACAACCCCGUUGUCAUCAGGCUGGUCAAUGCUGAAUGAAGCUCGAUCGUGACCCUUGUAUACGUAUUUGUAAAGGUACUUGACGGCCUUGAUGCUGGAGCACACCUCGACAUUUAUGUGGCAGUUGAACAUCCGCAAUAGAUAAGGGUUGUAAGGCACGACCCAUCUAUUAUCCAGCAUUUGACGACGGACCUUAGCCUGACGACCAUCGUCUCGCCGUCGAUAAACCGGGUAUGAAUCCUUCCCCUGUAAGGUGUUCUGGUUGAAUGGUCGUGGGUACUUGCUCUUGCACUUCAAGUCUUGCAUGCAAACAUUUUUGGGAUUAAGAUUGCCACAUCGGCUGUGCAUCAUAUGCUUCACGACCAUGGCAUAGAGCUCUGGAUACUUAUGCCUGUCCGGGAGCUCUGCAGAUAUGACGCGGUCAUACUGCUCUGGCACCACGAGUUUAUAAUUUGAAUUCAUGAUCAGCAGGAAGUGUGCAUGGGGGAGGCCCCUCUUCUGGAACUCGACGACAUACACAUGCGCUACCACAACACCAAGGAUGUGCUUUUUGAACAACAUCUCUUUCAUGGUCUCCAGCUUGGCCCUGAACACGCGUGCGACAAGAUCUGGUCGGUCCUGGGGUGUCUGGCCAGGAAGCAGCUCAUUUAGUAUCUCCUCCCAGCUAGGAUUGCAUGUCAUAGUCAAAAAGAUGUCAAGCUUCCCAUAUGUCUGCACCAGUGCCAUGGCGUCCAUCUGCCUCCGCUUCAUGCCUCGGUUGCUUCCUUGAUGCGUCCCUGGCAGCACGAUCCUCUUCCCAACAGCGCUCGCUCGCAUCUCCCCAACCGCGAUGCUAUCCACAAGGCCUUGGUAUAGAUCGGCACGUAUCUCUCUCUGGUGGUCCCUGAUCCACUUCAGCCUACAUCCCUCAAUCUUGAUGAACAUGUCGACACCCCAUUGCUGAAAUAGGCGUGCUCCGUGUAGUAUGGGGUUGAAUAUCGCAGGGCGCGUCUGUAGCCGGUAACAGUAGUAGUCCCUGACAGAGACACACAACCGGCCGUUCCCCUCUGUGGGAAGACGUGAAAGAAGAAGGUUAGGUGCCAUAUGGAAGGAUAGAGAACUUUUUCUGGCAUAUAAGCAUACCAACCAGGCGCACCUGAAUCGUUAUCACGGUUUCCUCUUGGUUGUUGUGCAACCUCCCAAGGGACAUUGUGCUUAGGGAUAUUUGGAUGCCAACCAAGCUCCCCCCUUGGAAAAAAGAGGGGAUAUGAGAGCGGGUCAUAACAGCCAUCUGUGGCAUGUAUACUAUACUUCUCGUUGUUGUCCCCAUAGAGUGUAAUGCUGCGGUUGAACCUAUUUGCAAGAUCGCUUCCCUCGACCCAAAUCGCAGCCACCUCGGAUGACACGGGUCUGUUAUAUCUUCGUUGGUCUAGCUUCUGGUCAAUGUUGAGGUCUAUCCGGUACUCCUCGAGGUUUUGCUUGUGGGCACCCAAACUCCUAAACUGCUGGGAGUAGGGGUUUUCCCUAAGGACGUCCACUAACUUGUUGACAACGUGCUGGUCCAAUUGCUUGAUGGCCUCCUUGCGAUGGUUUAAGCUGGGAUCGUCGUCGUAGAAGUACAACUACAAAUGUUCAGGGCGAGAUCUUGGACCGAACGAGUGCACCUUGUGGUACAUAGUGCCAUGUGCCUGAAACGUGUACACCCCGGACUUCAUGUUUGUGUAGUUGUUGUCUAGGCUGACGCCAAGGGUAGUGAAGGCGAAGUGCCCGUUGAAGAACCGAAUGCUCUCUCGGAAAUGCUGAGAGUCUGCAUCCGCGCUUGACCAUAACCUCAUCAGCUCUGGGAUAGGCUUGGGUUCAGCUAGCUCAAUCUCCCCGUUCCGACAGCAGAAGCCGUUAGUCUCGUACUGGAACUUCUUGGCCUUGCAAUGGUCGCAGUUUGCCGCGUGCUUCAGGAUGUGCGUGCUGUCUGGGAUGUUCGAGUAGACAUAGUCGAAAGGAUCUAGGUCGAUAGAUCCCGCGUUGGAGGAUUCUACGAGCUCAUCAAGGUUCGUGCUAUCAGUGUCGGAUGCUGGAAGCAUUGUGGAGAUAUAACAAGUCACGAUGGGAUGCACAUCAUAAACCAAUAAUAUAGAGGGACGGGCAGCGAAAGACGCCUCAGAGUACCUUGACCGCCAAAUAGGUAGUACUCAUCAUCCAUGAGGUCACCGGAAAGUCCAUUAUCGCCCAUGAUGCCGCUAAGGAAGGCGUCCAUGUCAGCUACAACAUUGUUGAGCCGGUAAGUAAUGGUUUAGUGUGAGUGGUCACCGGGAGGGGAGUAAAGGUGAGAGGGUUACCAUUGGUCCCCACGGUGUAACACGGCGUGCUCGACGAAGGGGAGGAAGCCGGUGAAGCAGCUCCUAUGGGCGGUGUUUCUGAGCUUGUUGCUGCUCUGUAAACAUGCAAGGUACUUGGGUGUGGAGACCUCCGCUUAGCUGCAAAGCUUGCAUUACGACGAUCUAGCAACGCUGACCUCUCACCUUCUACUAUGCUUUUCUUGUGCACUCUUCGUUUUCCGGCACUCCCUUGAAUGUUCUUUACCGCCAUAGCUUGUUUGUGAGCUCGCUCGUGAGCCCUAUGUUGUGCUCUGGUCUCCUGGCUCUGCUCAUGGGCUUGAUUCUGGUUUUCAUGUAUUCGCUGAUCAUUGGUUUGCUGCGAGGCAUUUAUGAGUUCAUCGGGGGGCUCAUUAUCGUCCAGGGUACGACUAAGGUACUCGCCUGCACGGUUGAGGAGCUGGUAAAUACUGGUCCAACUCACAUGGACAUAACAAGUAGAGUAAAGAUGGGAGGAUUACCGUCAGAUUCGAAGCUGUAACCAGCCUUACUCGCUAACUGGGGGGACGGAGCUGAAGCGGCGGGGUCUCUGGCAUGAGUAGUCGACAUCAGGUUGGGCGUAGCUAAGGCAGCUGCAUCUGGGCGCGGCAUUGCGAUGGAUUCAGCGCAAGGGAUGUUGCGCCUCGCCGCGAGUAUUGCAUGUCCUUUUUUAUAUUUAGGUCCACAUAUGGGAUGGCUCUGGGCGAACAACCUUCAUAUUGAUGAAUGAAUGGAACCGUAUGCCAAGAUCCUCGGUCUUCUGACCAGGAGGUCAUAUCUUCUCAAUCAAAUUUGCCAUUCUAUUGCCUAUGCUUAAUUUCUUGCAUAAGAUUGUUAUAAAUUAAUUGUACAGUUGUGUUGGUCAUAGUCUUUUAUCUCCUAGCUACUUCUUAAGGCUUUUGUACUGCAUUACUACUAAUUAGCCAAAUUAAUCCCCAUUACUGUUAUUUCCUCCUGCAACAUCGUAAUUCAAUUUGAAUGCGGAGCACUGGAAUGCGGAGUACAAUUCUAUUACUCAAGUCCAGAGGAUCUCGUCAGCUUACACUGAACCUGUAUAUUUCUUUGGUAAAAAAAAGAGGAUGUCCUGCUUUUCUUUGGACAGUACAAUUCUAUUACUCAAGUCCAGAGGAUGAUGUAUCUGGACAGUGGGUGCGUAAUACAGUGCCAAAUCUGUUUGCUUUGCCUGAUAUAAUAAACCUUAUUUUCAGUCUUCAGAUUAUCCACCUGGUCUUCUAUUUAGCUAUAUGGUUGUUGCAAGAGUCUUUCAAGAGUCUGGCCUUGCCGGCUUUACGCACCACACAAUUUUACCACGGUCCUGUUAAGUCCCGUGACUUCAGAUUAUCCACACAAUUCUGUUUGUUUCCCCUUGUGUGAUGAAAACACAAGAGGCGGCUUAUGCUAUCAUAAGUUCAGAACAGGCAACUCUAAUCUAUUACUAAUACUGCUACUAAUGCACUCAUAAUAUUCAGUGGAAGGACAGGCAAAGAGUUUGUUUGCAUUCUUUUUGCUUGAUCUCUUGGAUUACAUAUUACGCAUAUAAUAACAUGCUUGUGUAAGUUCUUCUGUUUUUGCAAUUUAUUUCAGCUUUCUAUUUGUGAAAGUGCUCAUUUGCAUAUGCCAAAAGAACCAGAAUGUGCUUGCUCACGUAGUCACAUCAGUCAUCUGAUCGAUGGCAUGCUUGCAAUCAGCAGAAAAUACUUACUUUACCCGCAAAAAAAUGCUUACUUACUUAGGACCUUGUUGACUGCGAGCUCAACAACCAUGGUGGAUAUGCUGUAUGUAUGUAGCAGAGAUGCAGAACUAUAGGUACAAGCAGACACCACAUACUGAAAUUCAAAACUGUGUAAUGCUCAGUGUAAACAAUCCGGUUAUGUAGAGUUUUGAUUUAAGUUUUUCUUUGUCCGUUGAGAAGACUUAUCUACCGACUGAUGUAGCUGGCACUAUAAUCUCUCACUCAAAAGAUGUUGAGAAAAUGCAAAAAAGUUAUGAUGGCUGAAAUACAUCUAAUGGGAUCAUUCAACAUCCAAUUUACUGAAUAUUUGACAUAGAAAGGACAUCGUAUGUCACUAUGCAUGUGCCAAUUUUCGUGUCGUUUGUGCAGUUGAAGACAAGGGCUACCAAUGGAGAAAGAGUGCACAUGGUGGCCGAGAGGGAGUUACUGUCAGACCAUGGUGAGGAUGGUGGCAGGAGGAUGGUGGCAGGAGGAUGUACCUGCGGCGUGAGGAGAUGGGUGCAGGAACAGCCGGCGCGCGGAGGUGGCUGGUUCCGAUGGCCCUGGUGAGCAACACCAUGAGACGGGAGCAGAGGCUGCACCAUGAGAAGGGAGCAGAGGUUGCUGGUUCCGGCGGCAGCAGAGGCCGCAGCUGGCCGCAGCUCACCCACCUGGCGUGAGAACGACGUGGCCGGACUGGUUCCGUUCCGGCGGAUGUGGCCGGAGGGAGAGUAUGGGUCCAGCGAGAGGAAAUUCUGGCUUCCUGGCAACGUGGCCGGACUGGUUCCGUUCCGGCGGAUGUGGCCGGAGGGCGAGUAUGGGUCCAGCGAGAGAAAAACUGGCGUUCCUGGCGACGAACUGGCGUUCCUAGCGACGUGCGAUGGAGCUGUCGCACUUGUUUCUUUGUUUGGUUUGGCUCGGGCGUGUCUUUUUUUUUGGUUUGGCAUGGACGUGGUUUUUUUUGGUCAAUGCAUGGAGUGGACGUCGUUCGUGGAUUGAGUCGUAACUGUUUUUCUUCGGCCGGUUCGUGAUCGUGGGCUGAGUUGGUGGCGAUGUAUCUCGUUCAUGGGCCGUGUUAGCAACAGGAUGCGAUCGAGGGUGGGGCUGCGGUCGAACCAUCACGACGACGACUGCAGAUCCUCCUUUAAUAGUAGAGAUUAUGCAUGGGUGGACCAUGCAUAAUUAGCUUCUAAUUACAUGCAAAUAUUUAUGAUCAAAACAGACCUCUUAUUUCCCAUAAAAAUAUAUUUUAUUACAGAAGUGGCAAUGACAUACAGGAAUUGUGGUC